rnacentral:rRNA from 1 species
UACGUAGGUGGCAAGCGUUGUCCGGAAUUACUGGGUGUAAAGCGCGUGUAGGCGGCAGACCAAGUCGGCGGUGAAAGCGCCCGGCUCAACUGGGCGAGGUCCGUGGAAACUGGUCAGCUGGAGGACGGUAGAGGCGAGUGGAAUUCCCGGUGUAGUGGUGAAAUGCGUAGAGAUCGGGAAGGAACACCUGUGGCGAAGGCGGCUCGCUGGGCCGGUCCUGACGCUGAGGUGCGAAAGCGUGGGGAGCAAACAGG